CGACUGACGCGGAAAAGCGGAACCAUUUAUUGUCAUGUGAUUUGUUGUCGGGACAUCACAGCCGACGAAGCAAAUGUUUUUAUGCUUGUUUUGUGUUUAUUGCAUUAUUUUCAAAUAUGUAUGCUGCCGCGACGGAGAGUUUAAUAAAGCAGGCAAGUGAAAUAAAGGAGGAAGAGCUGCAGAGGUUUUGCGGGCGCAUAUUUAAACUGCUCCACACUAAAGAUGUUAGUGGAGACACAGUGGACUCCCUCCAAAGGCUCAAUCUGAUAGUUUCUGCCACUAAAUAUGCGAGAGAGCUCCCAUCAGAUCUGGUGAGGAAGCUGCAGACGGUUCUUCGGUCUUCAUCAUGUCCAGAGCAGCUUCAGGUUCUGUCCUCCUCCAUCGUCCGGGAGAGCUCUCCUCCCAGCGUACACAGCCUCUGCUCGGAUCCCAGUCACGACAGCAGGACCUUCAGCCAUGUGGCCAGUGUUGUUCUCACUCAGGCUGGAAAUAAAGAAGAUGUGAUGCCUCUUUGCCACCAUUUGCUGAAAAGUCUUGAGUCUCGGCUGUCUGACGGGCAGAUACCCAGACAUGCGCUUCCCGUUCUCUCUAAAAUGAGUACUGUUUAUCCAGAGAUUCUCACAGAUGAUGAGGUGAAUCUGGUCAGUCGUAAGUUGGUGGACUGGUUGCGUUAUGCCAGUAUGCAGCAGGGAGCCUCCAUGUCUUCUGGGGGAUUUUUCAGUGGACCAAGAACACGUCAGCCUGCUCCACUGACGGAGGUGGAUGGGGUGGUAACGGGUGACUUCUUCACUGUGCUGUGUUUGGGCCAGAGCUACACUGAGGACCAGUGGAUGAAUAUGUACACUUUCUCUAUGAUCAAGAGUUGGCUGCUCACUUAUGACACAGACGGGACUACAAACACAGAACCAGCUCUACUAAUAAAAGCACAGGGCAUUCAUUCACAGCACCAAGAUGAUCGCUCAGAGGUGGACAGUUCUGUGAUGUCCAUGGUGUCCGCCACAUCCUCUUCCAGCAGACUACUUCCUCCCAAAGAGAGACUCAGAGAGAAGGCUUUUGAGUACUGCCAGCGUCUCAUUGAACAGAGUGACAGGAAAGCCCUGAAGAAGACAGACACAGAGCUACAGAAAGCAUGUAUUGUUGAGUCAGUGUCAGUAAUGGACAUCAUCUGCGGUGAGGACCCCUCCUAUGUGUACCGUGCCUUCCCCUGCAUCAAAGCCCUGUAUGGCAGACUGAAUGGAGAUCUCGCCUAUGCUCGAGCCCUGCUGCCUAUCGCUCAGUUCUACCUCAAUCACAGUGAGAUUGCAGCGGUGGACUCGGAGGCUGUGUUCUGCCAACUCUUUAGUCACUGUCCCGCCGAGCAGUUCAACGAGCCCAUGCUUGCCUUUGAGUUUGUCCAGUUCUGUCUUCUCAACGCUAGCGUGCUGCAGGACAGGGUGACCAACUACAGACAGAGCUUCCCAAACCUCCUGAAGUUCUUGGCAUGGAACAGUUCAGGAUUGAUUGCAGAGUUUGUGGAGCUGCUCCCAUCACUGAUAGCUCCAGAUACAGCCAUUGAGUUACUGCAUACUAUCCUUGAUCUGCCCUGCUUAGCAGCAGCCCUGGACCUCCAGCAGAGAUCAGCAUGCUAUCAGGCUUCAGACCGUACCGCAUGGGACCAGCAGGGGGCGAAGGUGGCCGCUUGUCUGGAUGCCUUCCGCCAGCCGUCCUAUAGAGGGCUCUUCCUGUACAUCCUCAGACCUGAGGCUGGGACUGGAGACACAAUAGACAGGCUAAAAAUGCUUCAUGAGAUUUUGGCUGACAUGGCGGAGAGUCCACGAGUUGUUCGGUGUGCUCAGGUUGUUCCUGUGCUUCUGCAUGUGUACUUCAACACAGUCACUCAGAAAGCUGAUGAGAAAAUGAUGAACCAGCUGUUGCUAGUGCUGCUGGAGAGAAGUAGUCAGCUCUACAACAUCAAGACGUUUAAUGUUGAAGUCCAAAAGGUGUUCAGCACCCACCUGCAGGCCCUGUGCAAACUCCACCCACCACUGAUUGUGGAUCAGUCCAGAGAGAUCCUGGAACUGGCAAGCUCCCCUGCCAACAUUUACAGUAAAGAAGACUUCUACACACAUGUGGUGUGGGUCAUUGGCGAGUAUCUCUCAGUGUCCUAUGACCCUCGCUGCACGGUGGAACGGAUCACGUCUUUUUUUGAGAGUUUAGAGGCGGUGCUGUUUGAGAUCACGCAGGUGCGACAGUCAGCCAGUCCUCCGAGCUUCUCCCCCCGCCUCAUCACGGUGCUCAUGACCACCCUGGCCAAACUGGCCACACGCAGUCAGGAUCUAAUUCCCAGAGUGUCGCUUUGCUUGUCUAAGAUGCGGACGUUUGCCUGUAGUGCUAUUGUAAUGACGUGCUACAGUGAGGAGGACACAGAGGAGAUCAUCACACGAGCCCAUGAACUUAUUAACUUGCUCAAGUUACCAAAUGUGGCUCAGUUUGUUCUGGCCCCUUCAGCCGGAGGUGACGGCCCCCGCUGGCACCGAGACACCAACGCCUCACUUCCUCAGGGCAUGAGAGCAGUCAGCGGGCUCCUCCAUAGACAUUCCAGCUCUCUGCCCACGUAAGCCAGUUCCAGGAAACUGUUUUCGAAAUAUCUGUGCAGAAUACCAAGAGAGAGUUUCUGAAGGACACAAAGGGAGAGGGAGUGACACUGGAGCAAAACAGGACACCGUAUGGAACAUGGUGGACAUGAUGAACAGCCCAGACAGACCUGUCCCAUACAUCCAUGCAGAGAUGGUCUCCCACUGGUCAUCAGAGAGGAAGUACAACACUGAGCUGCCCAGGAUACUGGGAAUGAUCCAGAACUGAACAGAAGACAAUAUCAAUAUGUAUCUUUUUGUAUCUUCUCAAGUUAUUAAUUACCAUUGUGUGUGUGCGUGCAUGCGUGCAUGUUUGUUAAAGCAGUGUUGGAGUCAAGGUCAGCUCAUUUGGGUUUGAGUCAAGAAUGACACCAGAAGAGGGUUGAGUUCAAAUCAAAAACAAGUCCACAUGCUCCUGAGUCUAUCACAUGACCAGGAAGUGAAAAUGUGGUCUUAGACUCAAUAUUUUAGAAAUCAAUAUUUUCAUGAGCACCAAGAUCAUAAAAUAUUGCCGUAGACUCAAAGACCAAGACUGUGAAAAUAAGGAAUAAGGAAAGUCAAAACCAUUUCUUCAUGUUCUUGGUCUUGUUGUAGACUCUGGAGCUAUUUGUGGACUAACACAAAGAGCAAGACUAUGAAAAUAUAGUCUUAGACUCAGACUUGAGGAGCAAAACCAUAAAAAAUAUGAUAUUGGACAGGACCCUAUUUUCAUGGUUUUGGUUUUGCCGUGGACUCUGGAGCAUGUGGUCUAAGACCAAAACCUAGACCAUGAAAAUGUGAGCUUGGGCAUGGACUUGAGGAUCAAGACCAUUGAAAUAUGGUCUUGCACUCAAUUUUUUAUCAACAAGUCAAUAUUGUUAGGGUCUUAGUCUUCUUGUGGACUCAAGACUGUGAAAAUAUGGUCUUAAACUCAAACUUGAGGACCAAGACAAUAUUUUCAUGUGAAGUCUUAACUCAGACUGAACCCUCAGCUGGCAUCGACUGCAACACUAUGUUAUAGUACUUAAAUACAAAAUGAACUAAAAUGGCCAGCCCUAGUCCUACAUUAUGUAUGUACAGUUUGCUAUUUGGAUUACUGUAAUUACAUUGGAAAAAUUACAAAUUCUAAUAUUUGUAGCCUGUCUGACAAUCCUUCCAUCUGUCAUUAUCUGUGUUUGAUCAAAUCUUCUUAACAUAUCCCACAAGCCCUACUGAUUUUCUACAGAAGCCUAUUUAAAAAAAAAAAAAAAAAAGGUUAUAAUGAAAACCAGCAAUUC